rnacentral:rRNA from 1 species
CAGCCGCCGCGGUAAAACGUAGGUGGCAAGCGUUGUCCGGAAUUAUUGGGCGUAAAGGGCUUGCAGGCGGUUUCUUAAGUCUGAUGUGAAAGCCCCCGGCUCAACCGGGGAGGGUCAUUGGAAACUGGGAAACUUGGGUGCAGAAGAGGAGAGUGGAAUUCCACGUGUAGCGGUGAAAUGCGUAGAGAUGUGGAGGAACACCAGUGGCGAAGGCGACUCUCUGGUCUGUAACUGACGCUGAGGAGCGAAAGCGUGGGGAGCAAAUGGGAUUAGAUACCCGCGUAGUCCCUGUCUCUUAUAC